rnacentral:rRNA from 1 species
GACGAACGCUGGCGGCGUGCUUAACACAUGCAAGUCGAACGGAAAGGCCCUGCUUUUGUGGGGUGCUCGAGUGGCGAACGGGUGAGUAACACGUGAGUAACCUGCCCUUGACUUUGGGAUAACUUCAGGAAACUGGGGCUAAUACCGGAUAGGAUCUCCUGCUGCAUGGUGGGGGUUGGAAAUUUUCGGCGGUUGGGGAUGGACUCGCGGCUUAUCAGCUUGUUGGUGGGGUAGUGGCUUACCAAGGCUUUGACGGGUGGCCGGCCUGAGAGGGUGACCGGGGACAUUGGGACUGAGGUACGGACCAGACUCGUACGGGAGGCAGCAGUGGGGAAUAUUGCCCAAUGGGAGGAAGCCUGAUGCAGCAACGCCGCGUGCGGGAUGACGGCCUUCGGGUUGUAAACCGCUUUCGCCUGUGACGAAGCGUGAGUGACGGUAAUGGGUAAAGAAGCACCGGCUAACUACGUG